UGUCAGUGAUUUGAAAUGACUUUAUAUUCUCUGUAUGCAUCACUUUUUUGAUUAUGUUUUCCUGUAGGACAAAGCUAUUCUUUUUGUUUUUCAUCCUAUUAAUUUUUCUUACACAAACUUGUUUGGUUCAGCAGAAAUGUGCUGUCAUGCUCACAGUGACACAUUAAAUAAUUUUGAUUGCAGAGGGAAGAAUGUGACAGCGCAGUCAGCAGAAAUCUGCGUCCUGUUGUCCCUUGAAGGUGUGGCUCCGCCCUCACUGCGGUGAUGAACCUCUUCCAGCUCGAACCUCUCUGUAAUUAGUGUCAGGAUGAGUCGGUCCUGUUCCGGUCCUUUCUUUUUUCUGCCUUGAAACAUGCCGCCCCCUUCAUGCAUCCCUUCAUAACUGCCAUUAUCUCAUUAGCUGCUGGAGCGCAGCAGGAAAUUGCGUCUGCGACUAGAGCCAUCUCCCGAAGACGUCUUAACUUCAGCUGUUUUCCACAGCUGUCACAGUGCACCAUCCUGUGCCCACAGCUACUAUGUAAAGUUCAUUAGCACAGUGUGUCCUGGACUACCGCCAAACAGGACAGUGACCUGACCUGCAUGGGAAUUUUAUCGGGAGCCCACAAACAGGAUAUUAGCAAACACUCAAUGGAUCCUCUGUUAACAAAGUACCAGGCCUUCAUUCCACACUCAGAAGUGUGACCUCAUGGAUUCGCCAUGCUGGGAAAUGUUCUGCUAGAUUGCAACACCAGAAUAAAAAAAAUCCCCUUCAGAAGUGCUCAGUUUUAUGUCGGAUCCCUCAGUUGUUCCAAAACUGACUGCUAUCCUGCAUGGGAACUAUUUUUCAUGAAAAAAAAGGACCCACUUUUGUGUCUUCCAGAGAGGUUGCUUCGAAUGUAACCUGGUGCAGAAAUCCCCAACCGUUUUAAGGCCACGGACUUAAAGCCCGGCACCAGCUGUCCCACUGAACCAGUACCGGUAAGUGGCCCAGGAGUCAAGGACCACUAACCUAGGGUAUCCAUAAGGAUCUACUGGUUUGCAUCUUAACUGAGAGAAGGGAGACUGAAAAGGACCUUUUACUAUGUUUCCAUGACAACAGCGCUAAACAACCAAAGAUGUGCCUGCCUCUGCCUGUUAGUCACUCUGGUGUUCAAGCCAAUUCAAACUAUUUCAAAUUUGGUAAAUAUUGGUCUCCCAGACUAAUGAAAGUCUGAAUAAAAUAAUUUAGACACUUCCUAACUUUUUUCACCCCCUUUCCUGUCCACUGCCUUCAGGUGUCUUGGCUCCCUUCUCUGCUCUCCUGCAGAACAGCUUCCCUGUUCUUCAGUCAGUUUGGGUAGCCCAGCAACAUGGUUUGUUGUUGUUUGAGCCAAACACAUCCAGGGAAUGUCGCUGAAGUUAGGUGGAGACCAACGCCAGGUCUGACAGCCAGCACAGGGAUUUAUGAGAGUCCUGGAUCAGGAGAAAACCUUCGAGCUACCAAAACCGCCUCCGUAGAUGUUCUAACAGAUGUUAGUGUGGAACUUUACACCACUAGCAGCAAAAGUUGAGUCCAGAAGAACAGUACAACUCAGACAAAGUUUAACCUAUGAAACAAAAACAUGGAGGAAGUUUUCCAUCAAAGUGAAACAGUGAUCUUCACUUUAAAGCUCAAAGUUUCUUCCAAACUUCAUUUAGGAGAUGAGUACUUCACUUCACUUACAUUUGACACUUUAGACUUAAGAUUUACAUCUUAGUUAUUGUUGUAGAUUAAUUACUUAUUUUGGUAGCAAUUACUUUAACCUUCACUUUUAUUCUUUGUAACAACCAGGCUGUCUUUUCUGAGUUUUUACUGCAGACGUGAGAUUGAGAGCUUCCUUUGUCUGUCACUUUUUUGUGGCUUCAUUUAACCAGCACAUGUACUCUGCAUGUCCACAUGUACAAACUGAACUGAUAAUCUCUGACGUCAAGAAUUGAAGCCUGAAGCGGCGCUGCCAUACUCACAAUGACUAUCUGGGAGAAUGAUCAGGAUUGUGAAUGUGCUUUAAGUUCUGUUAGGUUAAUCUAACUGUCAAUCCAAAAAAAAAAAA